rnacentral:rRNA from 1 species
GGCCUUUAGAUUAUGAUUUAAGGUCUGACCUGCCCAAUGAUUAUUUAAAUGGCCGCAGUAUUUUGACUGUGCAAAGGUAGCAUAAUCAUUAGUUUUUUAAUUGAAAGCUGGAAUGAAUGGUUUGAUGAAAAAAUAACUGUCUCAAUGAAAUUGAUUUAGAAUUUUAUUUUUUAGUAAAAAAGCUUAAAUUUUUUAUGAAGACGAGAAGACCCUAUAGAGUUUAAUAUUUAUAUUAAUAAUUUUUUUAGGUUGGUUUUACUUAGUUAUUAAUUUGAAUAUUUUAUUGGGGUGAUAGAAAAAUUUAAUUAACUUUUUAUUUUUAAAAACAUUAAUUUAUGAAUAUUUGAUCCUUUAAUUUUGGAUUAUAAGAUUAAAUUACCUUAGGGAUAACAGCGUAAUUUUUUCUGAGAGUUCUUAUCGAUGAAGAAGUUUGCGA